AGCUCCCCAACCCACCAUGCUGGCUGCAGCCCUGAACUGGUGAAAGCCAUGGGUCCUGGGGCUCCGGCAGCAGGCUGUCUGGAGCACCAAGAAGACGGAAUGCAUAGGCAGCUAUUAGAAAAGCACUGUUAGUGCCCAAGUCAGGAAAUGCAGCUGUUAAAUCCCGAGCCAUACUGGAGCAGAGGUAUUUCAGGAGUCCCUGUGAGAAAGGACUGGAGAACACGGCCUGUGGCAAGAUCUGCAUCCCAAAUGAAGCUGAAUCUCACACCAGAUGAAAGAGAAAAAAUCACGCGUGUUAAAUGUAACUGGAAGGAAAUCAUAUGCCUAAGUAUAAAGCUCCCUUCUGGUCUUACGGGCACUUAGACUAUGCAGAUCCUUCAGCCUUCGAUAUUAAAGCUCCCAAGGCAUCUAGCACUGUUUUGGAGUACGCCUAACCAGUGCUCCUGCCUUGACCGAGCUGUGCAAGGGCGUACUUAUCUGACAUUUAAGCUGGAUUAGAAACCAUGUACUAUGUGUUCAUCUACUUAUCUUCUUUCAGGGCUCAGCCUCACAAGGACACUUCCAAAUUGCCUGCUGCUCUGCCAG
ensembl:lncRNA